UGUCUUUUCUUGGAUAAGAUUAUAUUCUUUAGCUCGUGAGCUGACCUAUUUGUGAUUUGUACCUCAGUUGACGGGAUAUCUCAUAACUGAAACCAUGAACAACAAGUGCUUUGGUUCUGGUGGUGGCGAUCCAUUUCUUGAGGCGACAUCGUGUGCAAGAUUAUCCUUGUGGAGGCCGUUGGCACGGUGGCACCCUCCUCGACCUGCUGAUCCCAUUACCCAGGUUGCCUAUUGCGCCUAAAGGUUGGAUAUAUGGUGAUAUGGUAAUGCCGAUUUGGGAAAGCAGGUGUACAGUGUGUGUAAAUUAAGAAAACAAUUUAUAAUCUGUGAUGUGAUCAUUGCAUUUUAAUUAAGUAUAUGCGACUCAAGUAGGGAAGUAUUGAAUGCACCUCUCUGACAAGUGCACGCAUAAGGUACCAUUUUUUACUCAAUCGAUUUCAAAACAAGGCAUGAGACUGACAUACACUCUUUUAUUGCAUCGUGUAAAGAUAUGUGGUGUGAGGGGAAGGAGAAAUGUGGAGCUCAUAUUUUAAAGUGAUGGCCGAGGUGACAAUGCAGCCAUUAUUUGGGCAAGUAUUCUUAAAACAGGAAUUGCAUGCAGUUUAAUGACUAUAUGGUUGGUGAAUCA